rnacentral:rRNA from 1 species
UACAGAGGUCUCAAGCGUUGUUCGGAAUCACUGGGCGUAAAGGGUGCGUAGGUGGCGUGGCAAGUCAGAUGUGAAAGCCCGGAGCUCAACUCCGGAACUGCAUCCGAUACUGCCAUGCUAGAGCGCUGAAGAGGUGACCGGAAUUCUCGGUGUAGCAGUGAAAUGCGUGGAUAUCGAGAGGAACACCAAAGGCGAAGGCAGGUCACUGGGCAGUUGCUGACACUGAGGCACGAAGGCCAGGGUAGCGAACGGG